rnacentral:rRNA from 1 species
AAAUUUGAAAUCUGGCGCAAGCCCGAGUUGUAAUUUGUAGAGGAUGCUUCUGGCCAGCGGCCGUUCUAAGUUCCUUGGAACAGGACGUCAUAGAGGGUGAGAAUCCCGUAUGUGACCGGCGCGCAGCCUUUACGUAGCUCCUUCGACGAGUCGAGUUGUUUGGGAAUGCAGCUCUAAAUGGGAGGUAAAUUUCUUCUAAAGCUAAAUACCGGCCAGAGACCGAUAGCGCACAAGUAGAGUGAUCGAAAGAUGAAAAGCACUUUGGAAAGAGAGUUAAAAAGCACGUGAAAUUGUUGAAAGGGAAGCGCUUGCAACCAGACUUCGUAGCGAUGUUCCGCCGGUCUUCCGACCGGUCUACUCAUCGUCGCGAGGCCAACAUCGUCUGGGCCCGCUGGAUAAGACCUAAGGAAUGUGGCUUCCCUCGGGAAGUGUUAUAGCCUGUGGUGAUGCAGCGCGGCUCGGGCGAGGUCCGCGCUUCGGCAAGGAUGUUGGCGUAAUGGUUGUCAGCGGCCCGUCUUGAAACACGGACCAAGGAGUCUAACAUCUAUGCGAGUGUUCGGGUGUCAAACCCCUACGCGUAAUGAAAGUGAACGGAGGUGGGAAGCGCAAGCUGCACCAUCGACCGAUCCUGAUGUCCUCGGAUGGAUUUGAGUAAGAGCAUAGCUGUUGGGACCCGAAAGAUGGUGAACUAUGCCUGAAUAGGGUGAAGCCAGAGGAAACUCUGG